CCUACGGGUGGCAGCAGUGAGGAAUAUUGGUCAAUGGACGAGAGUCUGAACCAGCCAAGUAGCGUGAAGGAUGACUGCCCUAUGGGUUGUAAACUUCUUUUAUAUGGGAAUAAAAUGUUCCACGUGUGGGAUUUUGUAUGUACCAUAUGAAUAAGGCUCGGCUAACUCCGUGCCAGCAGCCGCGGUAAUACGGAGGAUCCGAGCGUUAUCCGGAUUUAUUGGGUUUAACGGGAGCGUAGGUGGAUUGUUAAGUCAGUUGUGAAAGUUUGCGGCUCAACCGUAAAAUUGCAGUUGAAACUGGCAGUCUUGAGUACAGUAGAGGUGGGCGGAAUUCGUGGUGUAGCGGUGAAAUGCUUAGAUAUCACGAAGAACUCCGAUUGCGAAGGCAGUUCACUGGACUGCAACUGACACUGAGGCUCGAAAGUGUGGGUAUCAAACAGGAUUAGAUACCCUUGUAGUC
rnacentral:rRNA from 1 species